rnacentral:rRNA from 1 species
GCUCGUAGGCGGUUUGUCGCGUCGGCUGUGAAAACCUGGGGCUCAACCCCGGGCCUGCAGCCGAUACGGGCAAACUAGAAUUCGGUAGGGGAGACUGGAAUUCCUGGUGUAGCGGUGAAAUGCGCAGAUAUCAGGAGGAACACCGGUGGCGAAGGCGGGUCUCUGGGCCGAUAUUGACGCUGAGGAGCGAAAGCGUGGGGAGCGAACAGGAUUAGAUACCCUGGUAGUCCACGCCGUAAACGUUGGGCGCUAGGUGUGGGCUCCAUUCCACGGAGUCUGUGCCGCAGCUAACGCAUUAAGCGCCCCGCCUGGGGAGUACGGCCGCAAGGCUAAAACUCAAAGGAAUUGACGGGGGCCUGCACAAGCGGCGGAGCAUGUGGCUUAAUUCGAUGCAACGCGAAGAACCUUACCUGGGUUUGACAUGCAGGGAAAUCUCGUAGAGAUACGGGGUCCGUAAGGGCCUUGCACAGGUGGUGCAUGGCUGUCGUCAGCUCGUGUCGUGAGAUGUUGGGUUAAGUCCCGCAACGAGCGCAACCCUCGUCCUAUGUU